rnacentral:lncRNA from 1 species
GCAAGGCCUGGACUAGACGCAGACGGCGUAGUCAACCGAUAAUUGUGGACAACUGAAUAAACGAAGAGCAGAGUGGCUGCAGAGCAGGUACAGAAUUCCAUUUUUAAUCCCAGAGCUCAGACUCCAGAACUAUCUUCUGUUGUACAGGAGGAAUACCCCACGUGCCCUUUUCCUUUCUGCCGUUCCCUCGAUGCGGUGGCAAGAGUGAGUACUGGUUUUGUUGCCAGAACUCGGCCUCUGCUCACCUGUGUGGAAUAGAAAUGCAGAGACAGAGUUUUGGGUGAAGGAGAAAAAAAUAGCUUUAUUGCUUUGCCAGCAAAGGAGGGUCACAGCAGGCUAAUGCCUCAAAGACUGGUCCCCCCUUGGGAGAGAUCGGGAGGUGGGGUUUUAUAGUUUGGGGGUGAACAAUAGGGCUGCAGAUAAGGAUCAGGAUAGAGGCAAGCUUGCCUUGUUUUCAAAGCUGGUGUUCAGGGGUCUGGUAGUCUUCUUUCUGGAAUAAAGAAGGCUUGGUUCACAUCCUCCAUUUCUUGGGGGUGUUAGUUCUGCAGAAGAGCUCAGAGAUAUUGUCAUCUACUUGCCUUGAGGAGGCACCAGGACCUGCCCCCAAAUGGCACUAUUGUUUCUUGAUGGCUCCUCCCUGGUCUCUGCAUUCCCUCCCUUCCCUGAUGAGCAAUGGCUUGAAACCUGCCCCUUGGAACACAGGGAAGGUCAUGGAGGCUGAAGUUUAUCCCCUAGAAACAAGUAAUGGGGGACCCAGAAAGGCUUGUGUGCCCAGGAGCCCACAGGGCCCUGCUUGGUUCCAGUUUCUAAAAGAUUGCAAGAGACUUUGUAGUAAAUCUUCCCAGUCCCUCCAGAAAAAGGGAAAAUUUGAUUCCCAGGAUCUAGCAGGAAGCUAAGAGCAGUCUAUGGAUGCUUAGCUGUUCUCAGUUAUGAAUAUCAUGACAAACUCUUUUAUGAUACCAUUUUAUAAUGUUUGAGUCUCGUAAAAGGAUGUGAACUUCGAAGGCAGAUGACAUAACAUUCAUUCUGCUCAUUCAUGGCUGCACGACGUUGUACAAGUCACUUCCUCUUUCUGCCUCAUGGGGGGAAAUAAUAAUCCCUUUGAGAUGAUGGUGGUAGGACCGAGGAAAAACUAUGUUGAUGUACGAACAACUCUGCAUCUAUAUUAACAUGUGUUUGGAGUGUUGCUUUGUACGUAGAAAACAUUCCACAAAUAUUAACCCUCGUCGCCGUCCUCCUUAUCAUCCUUAUCAUGUAACAGUCAGUUGUUUCCCAAACCCAGUUAACUUUUUACUUGUAGAGUUAAAAUGCCAGAGGUCAUGAAGUAGUUCUUUAAACAAAUAGGACACAUUCAAGGCUAUCCCUUGAAUAAUCCCUCUUGCUUACUUGCGUUAUGCUGCAUCUCUUGACUGGAAGGGAAAAGGAAGAAUGACCAACUUUUUUUUCUUUUUUUUUUUGCUGGAAAUGGUGCAUAACUGUGGCUUUGAACAUGCAAAUGCAUCAUUCACAGGAAGGUCACUCAGCAUGUGUCCUCAAGAGGGGAGGGAGGGUUAAGUGCUGCUGCUUUGGACUGUACAAAUCCCAGGGGCCAAAUUAUGUAAAUUCUUCCAGCAGUCGGGAGAGUGUCCUGCCAACUAGUGGACAUAAUAAAUGUUGUUGAUGUUGUAAUGAAGAUACUUAAGUUUCUGAGAAAAUGGCUUCUUUCUUCAGGUGAUUGCUUUAGGACCAAAGUCUUUCCUUGAAGGUGAAGGGGAUUUAUGUUUUUUACCCAGACACGUAAAUUAAGUGAAAAACAUCCCAUCUGAGGCAAGGAAAGACUCUUCUCUCACGCUGAGGUAUUCAUAGGCUCUGUCGUAGGCAGCCUCCCCAAGAAAUCUUUUAGUAAGAAACCCAACUUAGUGUGCUGACUGAUUCUCUUCCCACCUUUUCAAAAACUGUAUUUUCUUGCAAAUACUUACGAAGUCAUGAUGAACUGGGAAAACCUGCACACAAAUAAGAAUAUGUAAUUAUGGUCAAGCAGGUAAUCCAUUUUGUAUGGAUGUAAUUCCAUGCCACAGAUAAGAAAUGUCACCCAGGGUAGCUUCAUUAUGGACAGAGGUGUCAGGAUCAGCUCUGCGGCAGCGACACACUUCAAAGCCUCAGUGGCUUAACCAGAAGAGUUUAUUUCCUGCUCAUGCAAAUUCCACUCCAGGUUUGUAGCUCUGCGUGGCCACUUUCUUGAAAUGCCGACGUAGAGAUUCAUAUCUUUCUCAUCUUGGGUCCCACCAUCUCAUUAUGUGUCUUUGGUGCUCAUCACUCGAGGGAAAGACAGAGCCUAUAAAAUUCAUACCCAUUCUGCUAUGCUUUCUUUGACUUGCUGAAAACUGUGGGUCACAACUCGUCAUAAUACCCCCAUCUAACUGCAAGGAAAAUGGAAAAGGCUCUGGGCAGGGCCGGGGGGGGGGGUCAUAUAAAUAUCCGUGAUCAAUAGUGUAAAGAUACAAUUACCAGACUAUAUUCUUAGAAAUAUUAGAGCGAUAAGCUGUUCUGAAGAAAACAGCAAAAGGCCAGAGACAUUCGAUUAACCAGAACGCUAUUGCUAAUGUGUUCCUUUGCAUUCCUAACUUAGAAAUUCCCAGGGCACCUUAGCAUGUUGUCACCUCUGAGAGACCACUCUACAAACAGGCAUGAUUAUCCUGGGUUAAUGCUGAUGCAUUUUGGUUAUUUUUUUUUCUUUUUUUGCAAACUCAACUGACCAUAGGCUAAUUCCUCUCCACAACACCCAUGACCGUAAUGCACUGAACACUCAUUAGACAAAUAUUACAUUAGGUGUCUUGAAACACUAAAAUGAAAACCCCAAGAGGCACUUAAUACAUCUUUAUUGACAGGACACUAAACAAAUGGAUGAGGAGUCACUUUUCAAAGUCAGCGACACACAUUAAAUCAAACUUUUGGGAACCAGAUUUCUACCUAGCACCUGUAUUAAAGUUGAAAAAUAAAAAUCCUAGGUCAAGUAACCAGCUUUUGCUCACAAGAUGCUACACAUCACUCUUGAUGGGUUUUGUUGUUACUAUUUUUUUCCCUGUGCUGACUUGAGUGGGGUUUUUUGAGUGUCAUCAGCCGCAGCUCAUCUGCCCAAGAUUUCACAGUGGAAUCAGCAGUGUGCUAUGCUCAGCAUGUUCAGUGCAUCCCACACUUCCAUCCACACAGGAAUUUAGGCAUGAAAAACAAACCCCCCAUUGUGAUGGAGAGCAACGAAAUGAUAUGUUGUAUCAGCUCUGCUGGAUGGUUUUCCCUGCUAAAAAAACCUCGCAGACUCACCGUAGGGAGACUCAGUGCUAGUGUACAGAUGCAGUGCUAAUGUACAUUGCACAUAAUCCAGUUCGGUGAGGGUUUGAGCAAUGAUCAGUGUUGUGAUGGGAGCUCAUGGUUUGCCUUGGGUCCGGAGAGUGGCUGGUUGUUGGCAGCGAACCCCGGAACCUGGGAGGAGAAAACAAUACAGAAAACAAUGUUAUUUGCCGUCUAAUUUUCUAUAAUCCAGAAGGGUGGUUAUGCUGAAUGAUAACACACAGAGGGGAGAUUAAAUAUAAUAACACACUGUUCACACUCUGCAUCAGAAGUUAUUACUUUUGGCACCGUAGAGGCUGAUGCUUGGCACUGGGCAUUGCCAGGAGGUGUUAAGUGGGUAAGUGGUGCUAAGGAAUAGAGUCGUCUGUGGGGAAAAUGACAGUAAUGAAUUGCUUGUAAUGCUGUGAAAACUCAAUGAAUUUGAUUAAACACAGAUGGCAAAACUGUUUCCUGGACGACCAUUGGACACAACCGUUUAUGCUGACACACGCUCUCUCCCAGUGACAAGUCUGACAGGAAGACUGCUGCUUCUGCUGCCAAUUUGUGGAGCAUCUUGACAAAAAGUGACCAAGGGGAUGAAAAGAGCUCUGCCUCCCCCCAUCCCCACCCAGCCUCCCUUAAUCGGCAGGUUCACUCACACACAGUUGUCUCACGUGGUUGGAAGGUUUUCUAGAAGGGGCAAGUGAGCAUUAGAAGUUGCCUCGUCCUGGGAGACAAAUGUGUUUCUAUAACGUUUCUGAUAGAUCUUACUCUGCAGUCUCAGGGACCACACCACCUGUAGUAGGAUAAGGGGCAUAUACUGUCCAGGGGACUUCGUGUGAAUAAGAUAGGUGAUGACAGUGGUACAAAGCAGUGACACGUUUGAAGGUUGCAGGCUCGUGUCAAAAGUACGUGGAGAAAGAGAUUGGAAUGGGGAGGUGGAUGGAUUUUGGUGGCCCCACACCAAGUGUGGUUCUGGGCCCUGUGAGGAUAUGCCAGUGGGUGCUUGAUGUUCCUGAUAAGACAGAUGCAGAAAGUGAGAGCAAGCACUUAGAAAUACUCGGCUGUUUGAUAAUUUUGUUGCGCCUAAUAGUAACCAAACACACUUGGUAUUAUUUGUGCCUUCUUACAUCUUUACUUUUCCGGUAAUUCCUUUUUAUUGUACAUUACGAAACUUCUGGGAUGGAUGGGGAGUUUCACCACAGACGGUUUGAGAAUUAAGGAAUUCGAGUGGCAGAGGCAGAUUUAGUCCGCAUUUCUUACAAGGUUUAGGGUUGCAAGCAAGUUACUAAUCACGCUACAUUUUGGUUUUCGCAACAUUUGACAAGUAGAUUGUAUCAUUAUUAAAUAACUGGAUAUACCAGGAGCCGCUCAUGUAAACAAUUGAAAAUAAUUAAGUAUUUAGAUCGUGCACGCCUGCUAACUUGUGUAUUGCACAAAGUAAAUGAUCAAUUGAGUUCAGUCUUGUGGAAGAAUGAACGGGUCAGGUAACACACAGACUUGCUUCUUUCCAGUGUUCAGUUCAUACAGCGAAUAUUUGUUAAGAAUUGGCCUUGUUGGAGUUCCCAUUGUGGCACAUCAGAAACGAAUCCGACUAGUAUCCAUGAGGAUGCAGGUUGCACCCCUGGCCUCGCUCGGUGGGUCGGAGAUCUGGUGUUGCUGUGAGCUGUGGUGUAGGUCCCAGAUGUGGCUGUCCCGUGUGGCUGUGGCUGUGGUCCCAGAUGUGGCUGUCCCGUGUGGCUGUGGCUGUGGCAUAGACCAGCAGCUAUAGUCCCUAUUCAAUCCCUAGCCUGGGAACUUCCAUGUGCCACGCAGUUGCAGUCCUAAAAGAAUUAUCUUUGCUCCAGACAUAGUUCCAACUGCUGAGCAUGUGCAAGUGAAUAAAAAUUGCAACAACAGGAGUUUCUGUCGUGGCUCAGUGGUUAACGAAUCCGACUAGGAACCAUGGGGUUGCAGGUUUGAUCCCUGGGUUGCUCAGUGGGUUGAGGGUCUGGCGUUGCCAUGAGUUGUGGUGUAGGUUGAAGACGCAGCUCGGAUCCCGCAUUGCUGUGGCUCUGGCGUAGGCCAGUGGCUAUAGCUCCGAUUCGACCCCUAGCCUGAGUAGUGGCCCUAGAAAAAG